UACGGAGGGGGUUAGCGUUGUUCGGAAUGACUGGGCGUAAAGCGCGCGUAGGCGGAUCGGAAAGUUGGGGGUGAAAUCCCGGGGCUCAACCUCGGAAUGGCCUUCAAAACUCCUGGGCUUGAGUUCGAGAGAGGUGAGUGGAAUUCCGAGUGUAGAGGUGAAAUUCGUAGAUAUUCGGAGGAACACCAGUGGCGAAGGCGGCUCACUGGCUCGACACUGACGCUGAGGUGCGAAAGCGUGGGGAGCGAACAGG
rnacentral:rRNA from 1 species